rnacentral:lncRNA from 1 species
UUCCCAUGCUCUCUAUGCGGGCUCCUGAUUGCUGAACUUGAAAUGUAUUUUCCAUGUUCUCCAAGUGGGUACCUAAUUUCAACAAAAAUAGACAAAACAAAGAAAGUUUUAUGCUCCAGUUUUGUUGCUGGGCACAUAUGUGAGUGUUAAACCGAAUCAUAUUACCAAAUAUUACUAAGAAUUUGAAAGCUAGGUCCUAUUAUCCAGGGGAGUCCUGACAACUCUUAAUUUAACGAAAAUUAUAAAUCGAAGUUAUAUCCUCUAAAGGUGUGACUUCCGCUAAAUCUUGUUAUCUAAGAGGGUCUUAAACUACUCCCCAUUAUCCAGGAGGGUCCUAACAACUUCUAGUUAAAAGACAAUUUUAACCUAAGUUAUAUAUACUUGAAGGUACGACUUCCACCAUAUCUUGUUGUCUAAGUAGACCUUAAAACUAUGUCCCAUUAUCCAGGAGUGUUCUGAAAAUCAAAAUUCAAGUCUUAUCUUAAGAGUCCCAAUUUUAUGGCUGAAUUAUACUACCCUACAACAGUACCUACGCAAAAUCUUGUUAUCUAAAGGAAAUCUUAGAACUAUGUCCCAUUAUUCAGGAUGGUCCUAAUAACUCCUAAUUGAAUCCUAUCUUAAACAUGAAAACUUUAAAACAAACUUAUAUUCCUCUAGGAUACAUUUAUGCUAAAUUGUUCCCCUUGCGGAGGAUUUCUCCAGAAUAACCAAAAUCUUUUGCCCCUGUUUCAAUCAAAGAAAAUUUUGUCAGUUCAAAAUGUGGUGGUUAGUUGAUGGUGUUCUUGCUGAAGGUCUCUCCGCUACGUGUUUUGUUUCGACCUGCUUACCUGGACUGGCCCUGAAUCGCUUGACCUUUUGACUGACUUUCAAACCCUAUGCCCUUAGAUGACCCGAGUGUUUUAUACCCAAACCGUUAUUUUACCUCUCUUACCCCUUUCCCUGAACCUUGCAUCUCCUAUGAAAUUACCAAGUUAUUCCAUCGACGAAACAUCCGGUGACUCCUUAUGUCCUACUUUACAUCAUGCUAUCUUUGGUAUGUUCUGACCAAAUUGUGGUUUGCAAUUACGGAAAUUGGUAAUGAGCUUUGAGACCCUUUCUUUCUUACUCAAACAAAAUCAACAUUGAAACAUCUUAGAGAAAUAAAACCCAAAAGAAAAUAAAAUGCAAUGACUUUACGAGUUAAGAAUUAGAUGAAUCCAAAACUGGAUAACUGCUAAAAGGGAGAAAGAAAAGAAACUUAUCUGAGUGGAACAACUAGUACCGAUGAUCAUGACAUGCAUUUCGGAUUAUUUGGUCCAAUCUGUCCAACCAAUCAACUUUCAAUUGCCAUACUUUGAUGCCCCAGAAUUUCCAUAACCCGAUUUUUUCACCCAAACAUUGACCUGGUUUAUCCUGCGGUACCUUGAAAGGUUUUCUACAACCAAACCUUUCCCAUUUGUUCAUCUCUCAACUUACUUUUGCCUCAAGGUGCCCGUGAAGGUUUUCACCAAUAAGACUCUCAUUUUUGACUUCUCUCAGCUCCCGUCCCCUUAUGGUGCCCUUGAAGGUUUUCACCAAUAAGACUCUCUCAUUUUUAUUUCUCUCACCUCUCGUCGCCUUACCCCGUGAGGUUUUUCACUAAUAAGACUCCCUCAUUUUCUAUUUUUCCUGCUUGGACCAGAGUGUUGCCCUUGAUAUGAAUCACCUAUACCAACUCGACUUGGCAUUUCUCAAAGACUGAACAGAAAGUCUUUGUUUGGACUGUAACGUGGGCUUUUGGAAAGGGUUAGAAAGAAAGGGUAUAAAAGACUCAAAGCAAUUCAAAUGGGUUAAAAUUACAACUUUCGGAAUUAGAUUUCUUACAACAACCACAACUUCUGCCCCAGUUUCUUGCUUGGAGACUUUUGGAUUUUUAUUUCGAUGAGACUGAACCGUGAGGCUGCCUACGUAUCCUUAAAGUAAUCGGGUCGAACGUAGUUCAUGUCAUAGAAAUUACUUUGUUGUUGUGAUUUUUCUUUCCUUUUUCUUCCUCUUUGUCUUCUUUUCUUUUCUUUCUUCAUUUUCUCUUUUUGUUGUUUCGUUGUUUGUUGUUGUUUUUUAUUCUUUUUCUUUUUCUUCUUUUUUUUCUUUUCUUCUUCUUUUUCUUCUCUCUAUUUUCCUUCUUUUUCUUUUCUCUUUUUUCCUUUACUUAUCUUUCACGCUUGUGUUUUUGAUAUUUGCUACUGAUUCCAAAAGAGAGGUAUGAAAGGAAAUAAAUAAGGCUCAAAGGAGGCAACAGAGGAUAAAGUGUUUAGAUAGCAGAACAAAAUGUCUUCGUCAUUCCAUACUUCAAAAUAUUCCAAGCACAAACAACACAACUAAACAAACAUUCGUAACAUCUUCUGAUUGUGCCAGACUUGAUAACCAUAUCCACGCAUUCGCCUUCUUCAUCUGUUAAAUACAAAGCACCAUUGAGCAACACUCUCGCUCUCAUUAUCACGAACGACCCCUUCAAAUUUGGGCAAACUUGUCUUUCACUUCAAAAUGAUGCGGCACGAAGCAUAAGGUUUGUUUAUGUUCUAUCUGCCCUAAUAUUACAUAAUUCGGGCUUGAAGUGAUCUCAAAAUUCCUUUACUUAUUUCCCUCAAAUGUUUCUACAACUUCAACAUUUUUUCAUUUCUUUAUGACUAAACUAACUUUUAAAACAAGGCUGAAAAUUAUGCGUGCAUGUCAUGUCACUAGAACCAGCAUGAAAAGAAAUAUAAAAAUGAGAAGAGAACUAAACAAAAAUGACCAGAAAUGGCAGAAAAUAGAGAAUUGCAUUAGACAGACAGUGAAAGGGUUUAAACAACAAAACAAGCUACAUAAACUGGGGUACAACCCUAAAACAAACCUAGAUAAUUCUAAAUGAGAUAGUACGAUUGAAGGAACUAGACAAAAUAAAAGGAUAGAAGGGAUUUAGUCACAAGACAAUAUCCGGAUAACAACCCUGAAAUAACCCGGACAACAUAAAUGAUGACAAACUAAGCCACCAAGCUCCUCUAUGACUGACCAAGAAAUGGAGCGUCUUUCCAGUUACCAAGUACAAUAUCUUAGACACUGAAUUAUGUAUCAACAAUACUAGGAACUUCACAAGUCUUCAUCAAGUUGUUCUUAACAAGUUGCCUUUGGCUUCCUUUUGCCGGCCCGUUCUUAAGAUCAACCUCUGAUAGCACUGAAACUUUUGUAGCACGUGGGCCUCCGAGGCUCCUAGAAGAAUUCUCACGUUCCUUUUCAAAAUAAAUCAUAGCCACCAUGUGCGUCUCAUUAUGCACAGGCGAUGGACUUUUGCUGGUGUCUGCUGCAAUUUGGAUUUUGCAUGAUAAUGUCGCCUGCAUCAAUAAGCUUUUGACUCGCAUUCUUCAGAUUCCAACACUUCUCUAUGUCAUGCCCUGGAGCAUCGAAGCAAUAUCCUCAUCUUUUAGAAAAAUCAAACUUCUUUGGAAGUGGGUUGGCAUUUUUGUCUAAAUCGGCUUCAACAUGUCCAAUUUCCUUAGCCUCUGCAACAUGCCCCGGGGCACUCUCCCAAUGGAGUGAAGGUUUUCUUCUUCUGUAAUCUCUCAUUCUUAAAUGCUUUAUUGGGCCGGAAACAUGAUCCAGGGGGGUUUCAAUAGGCUCGUGGGGGUGGAUAGGCAUUUUGUGGAGUUGGGUACUGGGAAAUUGAUGUACGACUUUGGGGGUUCUAUGGAGAGAAGUAGCAUUGGGAAGGGUAGUGUGCACAAGGAUAUCCAUAGGGCCGAUUUCGAGGCUGAAAGAGUUGAGCAGGACUGCCCCGGGUCAUCUUUUCUGUUUCUCUUUCUUCUACCCAAGCCUACCGGGAUGUUCUGAAUGUCUUUCAAACAAUUCAUGAUUUUGCGUGACUUGAUUUCCUCUUCUACUAGCUCCCCCAUUUUUAACACAUCAUUGAAAGGCUUUCCCAAGGUCGGGGUCAAAUGGAUGAAGUAGGUGGGCCCGUGGGAUUGUAUGAAAAGAUCAACCAUUUCUUCUUCACCAAUCGGGGUAUUGACUCGAGCAUCCUGCUCCCUCCAUCUGAGCCCAAACUCUCUGAAGCUUUCUUCCAACUUCUUUUCCAUUCUAGAUAUAGAUGAGUGAUCUAGGGCAACGCCUGAUUUGUACUGAAAGUAUCGAACAAAAUUUUGAGCUUUGUCGCCCAAUGUAUACCACUUCCCGAUAUCUUGAUGAUUAUGACAUUCCAAAGAUUCCCUAGUCAAGAUCUCACUGGAAUACGCCAUUAACAAAUCAUCUUUCUCUCCAACAAUUCUCAUUUUAUUGCAAUAAACCCUCAGGUAGGCUACCGGAUCCCCACACCCAUCAUAAAAGUUAAAUUUUGGCACUUUAAACCCCACGGGCAAGCGAACGUCAGGGGACAUAGACAAUUCUUUGUAAGACCUGUUACCCUAGCCUCCCAUUCCUUUCUUGUUAUUUAAGGACUAUUCUAUGCCUUUCAGCCUCCUGGGUAUCCCAUCUCACCCUUCUCUUCCUAGAACUUUUUAUUUUCAACACGAAGCUCAUCCCGCAGACCCUGCUUGUAUGAGUUGGGAACCUUGUGAGCAACCUCUGAGGGGUAACAUUGGGCAUCAUAAGCUUUGAGUGGGUGUUCAUUAUCGAGGAUAGUGUAUGUGACAAGAGGGCACUUUUGGGAAAAGAUGGUUAGAGGAUGAAUGAUAGAGCGACUGGGGUGGUUGGGAAAGCUGUGAUAAGCGGGUGAAUAUGGAGAUUAUGGAGGAUCAUCUGGCAUUGCGUCCGGAGUUUGGGUGAGGGUAACAUCUAGGAAGCUGGGUUGUUGCGGGAGUGGUGCUUUCCAAGUCAUCCAAGCCUGAUACAUGUCCCCCAUGUGUUAUCUCAACAUCUUUACCUCUUUUACCAACCCAUUGUCCUAUUUUACCAACUGCUUUCGGGCGCCAGUAUCAACCAACUCAGUUCGGUUGUUUUCUGCCAUUGCCUUUUGACUUUAUGUUGUAGAGAAGAGUUACCACUUUGAAAACUACAAACCAACCACCCUUCUGCUAUGAAUAUAACAAAAUGAAGACAUCACGUUAAUGUUAGGGCAUUUAACAUAUUGGUAACCGCACAUUAUGGGGAAUGAAUGACCUAAGUAGUUAACAGUUUCAAUUAUGCAUUUGCUUGACUGCUUCGUCAUCCCAGCCUUUUCCUUAUUUUUGAUUGCAAACUUAUUCUUCUUUUUUCUUUUUUCUUUUCCUUCUUUUCACUCUUGCCUUUGUUUUCUCUUUGUUUUUAUUCUCUCUUUCUCUCGAUUUCUUAUUUCCUCAUUUCCUUCUUGUUUUUCCUCUCUUUUUCUUUUCCUUUUCUCUCUUGAUUUUCCUCUCUUUUCUUUUCCUCUUUUUCAUUUGGUUACGGUGGAAUCCUAUGGAGAUUGCCUACGUAUCAUGACCCCGCAGGAAUCAGACCAAGCGUAGUUCUUGGAGAUAAAUAAUAAAACAUUUUUUGGGAUUUUCAAAUUUUCAUAAAAAACAAGCUUUGAUUGUAACGACGUAAAAACUAAUAAACUCAAAUAGAAACUAACAGUCUCUGAUGAAAAGACGAAAAUACAAACUCGAAAAAUAACCCACAUACUCUAAUAAAAGAAAAUACAAACUCGAAAGCAAACUGAUAGACUUUAACAGAAAGAAAAUACAGAGUCAAAUAAAAACCACUAAUACAUCAGUGACUCAAUUGCUCCUGGGGCCCGCGGAUCAUUCGGUCUCGCCAUGGGCUAACGGGCUAAUUCCCCUUGGAGAUGGUAAAGAUCUUCCAUUACCAUACGAACAAAGGUCAUCACAGUGGCGAAGAACAUAGAUCUAGUCAUAUCCUCACAACUAUUGCACUUCAUCACGAUGUAGUCGGCGAUUCUUCUUACUCUCUCUUAUGACACUUUUUUCUUGAAACAAAUGCCCAAUCUGCUGGGCUCUGGCUUCUAAAGUUUGUUCGGCUACUCGAUUCUACUCUUGAAGUUGUUGCAAAUCUCUUUCUAGUUGUGCCAUUAAUGUAUAACAUUAUUCUCUUUCAGCCUUAAAGUCUUUCUCCUGUUUGGUUAUUUUGUCCUCUGCGGUGAUGAUCCUUUUCUUUAGCCCCGCAACCUCAUUGUUGUACUUUUCUUUUAAUUGUUUAAUUAGGCGUGCUCGUUCCUCCGCAUUUUUAGCCAAUUGCUUUCGAGCCCUGGCUAAUUCACUUUCUGCUUUGUUCAAAACAAAACAUUGUUCUCCCAUUUUCUUCCUCAAGUUAUCUAUAAGUUUUUCAUCUUUGGCACUCCUGGCGAGAUUUUCUGCCUCUAUUUUCAUUUUUCGAAUCUGGGCCUGAAGGGCCUCAUUUUCUUUAGCUAGUCUUUUCUUUGCGCCCUCAUCUGCGGCAGCCUGCAAACCAUUCUCAAAUUGCAGAUCUAUGACUUGUUUUUCAAGCUUUCCUAUUAUAGCCCUAUACUCAUUUUCCUUGGCCAACCACGCCCACUGUUCUUGUGACGCCUCCACGAAUUCCUGAAUGUCAGGUUUUUUGGCUGGUCUUUCAGGUUCCGCCUUGCAGUGUUAUUCUUCUGUACCAAGCAAGAAAGGCGAGCGCAACCUCGCCUCUAGAUAGGUCACGUACUCGAGUGUUUGCUAUUAAAUACUGACACUCAUUCUAAAUAGAACGAACUGUUUCUUCAUGAAAUUGACCGUCAGAGCUGACCUCGGCCGCAUGAACACUGAGAUCUUCAUUUGGGUGCAUCACUUGGAACCUUCGCAAAUGUCUCAUCACCCGAUAUGGAGCGUAUGGCUGAAUGCCUCGAAGACCCAAGAGGAGGAAGUAAGGACCAAUGGCGGGCACAUAUAGAAUUUCUUCAACAGGAAGCCAACUCUGUGUCCACUCUAUUUUCCCCGUAGUGAUAGAGCAGAGGAGGGAUACCCAAUCUCCAAACCAUUCUAGCAAUUUGAGCCCUAAAACCUUUGUGUCGAACUCUUCAAUGCAGCUUUUCUCUGUGGAUCCGUAACUCAUAUACUGAGGGCGGUGACACAUGUGCUCAAUCAUCCACAUUUGUAAUAACAAAUUGCAUCCCUCAAAGAAAUUUGCCCCAACUUUACAAGCUAUGAGAGCUCGGUAUAUCUCCGACACUAUCAUAGGGGCGAGGGUGCUCUUGGCGUUGGUAAUCAGGACUCUGACGACCCCAACCACCCAUAUAUCAAUAUUUCUGUCUUUCCAGGGAAACACCACAAGGCCUAAGAAAGCCACAAUGAAAGCGAAACGCCUAUGUUCAUUCCAUUUUGUUUGGUUACCUUUGCUACAAACCCGACUUUCCGGAUCGUUAAACCCUCCUACAUGAAUGUACCUCCGAUGUAUAAAAUGUAGAGUGGAAAAACCAAUCUCCAACUUGAAGUCAGGACUCCCUUGUUAUCUUUAGUAAAUCCAUGAAUUUGUGAGAGUUAACGGCUCUUGGAGUGAUCAGAUACUUGUGCCUCAGACCUUUACUACUGUCCAGAUAACCUGUUAUAUCUUCCAACGUUGGGGUGAGUUCAAAAUUCGAGAAGUGAAAUACGUUAUAGACCGGGUCCCAAAACGUAAGCAAAGCUUUUAUUAUAUCUUCUCUAGAUCUGAUCUUUAACAAACCAGUGUGACCUCCCAAAUGUACACUAACCUUAUCUUGCUCAGAUUUUCCCAGAUCCCCCCACCACAUGUGCAAUUCCAAAGGGAUCUUGUUCCUGACUGUUAUCGAAAAACUUGGGCUCGUGCUCAUUCUGCACAUUUAUUAGGGUGAUUAAGAAAAAUCAAGACUUAUUCGACUCAAAAACAAAAUUAACAUUGUUUCCUUUCUUUUCAAAUUAAAAAUAAAAAUCUGGUUUUGCAAAUAUGGCUUUUCAACACCUCGAGGAUGAAGAUGUUAAGGUUGUGUUGGCUGAACGGUCAAAAAAUUAAAAAAUUCUCAAAGGCGGUAUUCCUGCAAAAGCAGCCUUCUGGCGCCCUUUUGGGACAUUUGGAUAUUUUUUACAAGGAUGGCAUCACCUUAAUUAUUUUUAACUAAAAUAAAAUUUUGUUCUUUUUGGGUUAUUUUUGCAAAAAUGAAGUUGGACCCGAUAGAGGUUGUCUGCGUAUCCGACACCCUGUGAGAAUAAAACUAGCGUAGUUCGGGCAGAUAAAACAAACUAUUUUUGGAAACAAGACCUUCUUUCAUUUCAUUUUUCUAAAAAAUUCGGCAAAAUUUCAGCACUAUUUAGACAUUGGUUUUUUUCAAAACAGGCGAUUAACUUUCUUAACCCUCACACUGCUAUUUCACUUUUCUCAACCUUCCCCAAUAUUCAUAAGCCGGUGAACAUGCAAGUCCGAAGCAAAUAUAUGCACUAGUAGCAAGUAAGAUGCAUAAGGAUGGUCUUUUUCAUUUUCAGUUCACCUGUCCUAGACAGACCCAACCCCUGUGUUGAGUCUCCAAAGUCAAAUGCACAUGAUGCAAGCAAACGUUCCUACUAGGGAUCCGGCAUAAGGUCUUGUUAUACUAGGUUUAGAACCUGGGUGUAUAUUUCUAGACCUGGCUUACCCGAGCGGACAACUCGAGUCGAUGGGGGGCUACGUACCGGUAUCCAAAAUAGCAUCCGGCUUUGCAACUUGUACGAACUUUAUUCUAUUUGGGAUAUGACACUAAAAAAAAGAAGUCACGACCAGCGUGCACUCCUCAGGAAAGAGAAGAUAGGGGUUUCACAACAGUUUAUAUACAGUCCAGAUAAUAUCAAAAUGGUAAAAAACAACAUGUUGCACAUUAGGCCCAAACAUGUAAUAAAAUCAGAUAAACAAAGCCAAUUAUAUCAAUUAUUCUAAGCUCGAAUUCUUGAGCCCUGAACUAGAGAUUCUGGGUUCGAUCCCCAGCAGGGUCGCCGGAGUUGUCACACCUCUUUUUUCCUACCCCCCCCCCCCCCCCCNNNNNNNNNNNNNNNNNNNNNNNNNNNNNNNNNNNNNNNNNNNNNNNNNNNNNNNNNNNNNNNNNNNNNNNNNNNNNNNNNNNNNNNNNNNNNNNNNNNNNNNNNNCCCCCCCCGAAGGGUAUUAAAAGGGUUUUUCCAAUUAAAAGACAAUCGAAAGGGGAUUAUAUUAUUUAGAUAUUCAGAUUUGCCACUUGGGAUAAUUUAUGGUGUCCCAAGUCACCGGUUCAAAGCCCGAAUCGAGGAAAAGAUUGACUUUGAAUUACAGUCCGCGAACCAGAAAUCUGGGUAAAGAAUUCUCUUAACGCGGGAGAAGGUGUUAUGCAUUCCCGGGUUCCGUGAUUUUAGCACGGUCGCUCAACUAUUAUAAAUGGCAUAAUUAUCUUAUUUUAAACAUUUUGAACCUAUACUCAAUUUAACUUUUAACCGCAUUAUUUAAUUAUUUUAAAGGAAAAUUGCAUCGUCAUUUAAAACAUAUCUUGAGCCGCAUCACAUAAAUGCAACCGCAGUUUGCAACAUAUUUUAUCUAACACUGAGAUUUAGAUUUGGGUCACAUAAAUGUGCACUCGAGUUUAGGAAUGUAAAUUAUUAAAACAACGUGCCUAAAGCAACUACGCGUUUGCAACUUUGCAAGGGCCAUGGAAAUUUGCAAAAUGACACGCCUCGAAUUCUAAAGAUUUGUACUCAAUCAAAGAUAGCUAUGGGUGUCCAUAUUUAUUUUCCUAAAUUUGAGAAUGACCUACGAGGUUCAGAUAUUGUAGACACAUGGGAAAAGCCCCAGGUUGGCAGCAACAAAGUAAUGAGUUUCUGAAGAAAAAAUAAAAAUACUUGGGUAACAUAACAUAAUACAACACUUAGACAACCCAAGCUAACAGGUUAAUCUGUGUGCAUAGCCAAACAUUCUGAACCAUUUUUGUAAAACACUUUUUUCAUUUAGAUGUUCAAGAACUAUAACUCAGGUCUAACGACUAUAAUAAUCCAUGCACCAUUUCCAUGUACCAAGAAAUUAUAUUAAACAAACAAUUAAUUUAUAACCAAGGGUGCAAAUCAUGUAAAUAUGACAAUAAUGUUCUUCGGCCACCAAUGGAUCCCUGGUUGAACUCCUAAAUAUUUUUGCACACUAAAACUGUGAAAAUGAUAGACACUCGACACUGUUCAAUGUGUAGAUGACCAAACAGAUAUAUGCAAAGUGACUAAGCAACAUCAACACUUAAACAGGUAAUGUUCCAUUAGCCAUCCAACAAGUAGCAACAAGCAGAGCAUGACCAUUUAUUUCAAUUCAAACAAUUUGGGAGCUUCAUUCACUUACAUAAACCUUGAGGAAAGCAUAUUUUUGCAUUCACAAAUUAAUAGUUACAUACGUUUUGGAAGAUUAAAGAAACAAACUACGUUAUUCUUGAGGGAUUCAAAGGUAAACUUUGGAAAACAGAGGAGUAAUAGAGCCAGCAGCAGGCACCACCAUAUAUAACUCAAAAAUGUCCUUGAGAUAAAGCACAACCAAUUCUGAACUCUCAAGAAAGAACUCAUUUGCUUAUUUUCAGGGAUAACCAGCAACAAAACCAAGCAAAAUAUCCGACGUGGGCAAUCAGUGCAAGAAGCUGGGAGUUAAUCACAAACCAUAACGAAAGACAGUACUUUAACCCAUAUUUAGACUGUAUUCAAAGCAACCAAAAGUUUACACACAUGAUUAAAUCUUCAUUCUACUAUGUACAGGGACUGAUAAUCUGGUUCAGGCCUUCAUAAAGAGCAAUAACACCAACAGGAAUGCACAUGUACAUUAGGAAGCUAAUCUCACUAUAUUAUGGACUUAGUGACAUGCUUACAGUAAAAUUCUCACAAUGAUCCAGAUUCAUACCAAACUUUUAAAUCAACCAAGAUAUUCAGUCAAACAUGGUAUGGUGUUCUUUCAACCAAGCUAACAAACAUCAGUGAGCUUCAUUAGGCCUAAGAGUGACGACGACAUAACAACAACAACAACAACAACAACAACAACAACUACUACUACCCAGUAUACUCCCCAGGUGGGGUCUGGGGAGGGUAAUAUGUAGACGAGUCUUACCCCUAAGAGUGACGACGACAUAUUUCCAUUUUUUUAGAUCCUAUAUAACUGCAUUAUUAAAGCUAAAAUACUCUAUAAGGUAAUCUCAAGUGAGGGAAAUAGUAACAUAGGCAAUGAUAUUCCUUGAACGAGAGGAUAGAAAGUUUAUGAGCACAGAUAUGGAAAGCCAACAAAAUUCAACCAAACUUAUAUACAAGGAGACUUCUACCAUAUUUCAUGGUUAGCUCAGCUUUACAUAACUGAACCUCAAACUUUAAUUUUAAAUCCAAAGAAUGGAAAUCAACCGACUCGAAGCAAGGUUUUAGCUACAGAAUAGACAUAACUCGACAGACUUUACCAAAUUUAAAUCCAAACAAUGGCAAUCAAAAGACUCGAACCAAGGUUUCAGCUAUAGAAUAGACAUAACUUGACAAACUUUACCAAAAAUCUCAACUAGUCACAAAUCGAUAAGAAACUACAUUCGACCUCACUGAUAAAGCUCAAAUGACAGCAAAAAUGGAGUACAAACUCAGAAAUUUCAUAGCUUAAGAACAACCAAAAAUAGAGUUACAUGGUGAAAAAAAAUCAAACCUGAAGUCGCAAACUUCUGUUAAUAAUCACAGCCUUAAUAAUAUGUCUUUCGCCUUCGAAUACUAGCGAGGUUGAGCAGCAACUCAACAGAACAACAACAGUAAACCCAAGCUUGAACUUCAAUUCAGUUUUUCAUCUCUUUGGAACUCUGAGAUGGACUCAAAUGAUAAAAAAAAUGUGUAUCCUUCUCUUAACCUUUGAAAGAAAUAUUCAGAAAAAGAAAUUGAAAUCAGAAAACCAGGAGUUUUUAGAAACCUUUCGUCUUUUCUCUCCAAUUUUUUUUUACCCGAUUCCCCCUCAAGAAAUUGGAUAAGGCUUGUUUUGAAGACGAAUCCUUGAUGAAUUUAGGGCUCGGAUCGAGUGAAAUCAACCAACGCCUCACACUCAUCCAGCAUAUCGUCGCCAAAACUUUCCAAUCGUGAGAUAAAACUCGAAUUCGGGUGAGUUAGAGGGGAUGGGAAUCAUGGCGUAAAACAAUGUUCGCAAUGGCAAUAUGAGAGAAGGAGGGACGCGUGGGCUAGGGAUUUGGGAUUCACGCGCCCGGAUUUGGACUGAAUUGGGGCUUGGUUCAAGUGAGGACGAUACUAGAACAGUGUUCGUUUGGGAUUUAGGGCUUGGGG